CACGGGGGGAGCAAGCGUUGUUCGGAAUCACUGGGCGUAAAGGGCUCGUAGGCGGUUUGUCGCGUCGGGAGUGAAAUCCACUGGCUUAACUGGUGGCUUGCUUUCGAUACGGGCAGACUGGAGGUAUGCAGGGGAGAACGGAAUUCCUGGUGUAGCGGUGAAAUGCGCAGAUAUCAGGAGGAACACCGGUGGCGAAGGCGGUUCUCUGGGCAUGUCCUGACGCUGAGGAGCGAAAGUGUGGGGAGCGAACAGG
rnacentral:rRNA from 1 species